AGCGACUUGGCGCAGAGGUUAGCGUGCUCGGCUCAUAACCGGGAGGUCCAAGGUUCGAUCCCUUGAGUCGCUAUCA
rnacentral:tRNA from 1 species